rnacentral:rRNA from 1 species
GCAGCCGCCACGGUAAUACAGAGGGUGCGAGCGUUAAUCGGAUUUACUGGGCGUAAAGCGUGCGUAGGCGGCUUUUUAAGUCGGAUGUGAAAUCCCUGAGCUUAACUUAGGAAUUGCAUUCGAUACUGGGAAGCUAGAGUAUGGGAGAGGAUGGUAGAAUUCCAGGUGUAGCGGUGAAAUGCGUAGAGAUCUGGAGGAAUACCGAUGGCGAAGGCAGCCAUCUGGCCUAAUACUGACGCUGUGGUACGAAAGCAUGGGGAGCAAACAGGAUUAGAUACCCCCGUAGUCCCUGUCUCUUAUAC